CCAGCUGACCGGAUGGCCGCCCUGAACCGCGCAAGCGGGAAGGGGAGGAAAGUCCGGGCUCCAUGGAGACACGGUGCCGGGUAACACCCGGCGGGGGCGACCCCAGGGACAGUGCCACAGAAAGCAAACCGCCACCCGGCCCUCGGGCCGGACGGUAAGGGUGAAAGGGUGCGGUAAGAGCGCACCGCGCGUCUGGCAACAGGGGCGGCACGGUAAACCCCACCGGGAGCAAGACCGAAUAGGGGCGGUUUGGCCAUCGCAUGCGGUGGCCAGAUCAUGUCUUUAGAUCACCGCCCGGGUUGGUCGCGCGAGGCACAUGGCGACAUGUGUCCCAGAUGAAUGGCCAUCCAGCGCGCUGAGGCUUUGCUCCAGCGCGUGGACAGAACCCGGCUUACAGGUCAACUGGUUGU
rnacentral:RNase_P_RNA from 1 species